AGAGUUUGAUCCUGGCUCAGGACGAACGCUGGCGGCGUGCCUAACACAUGCAAGUCGAGCGGAGUUAUCUUUAGCACUGAGCAUUCAUAAUAAGAAAUGGCGCCGAGCGUCAUGCAGAAACAACCUUGAUUUAUUAUUCAAGUUUCUGCAUCACGCGUUUUCAAAAAGUGCCAACACAUUAUAUGAAAUGUAAGGUAUGAAUGUUGAGUGCUAAAGGUAGCUUAGCGGCGGACGGGUGAGUAACGCGUGGAUAACCUGCCUUAUACAGGGGGAUAACACAGGGAAACUUGUGCUAAUACCGCAUAACAUCGAGGGAUGGCAUCAUCCUUUGAUCAAAGGAGCAAUCCGGUAUAAGAUGGAUCCGCGUCCGAUUAGCUAGUUGGUGGUGUAACGGACCACCAAGGCGACGAUCGGUAGCCGAACUGAGAGGUUGAUCGGCCACAUUGGGACUGAGACACGGCCCAGACUCCUACGGGAGGCAGCAGUGGGGAAUAUUGGACAAUGGAGGAAACUCUGAUCCAGUGACGCCGCGUGAAGGAAGAAGGUCUUCGGAUUGUAAACUUAUUUUAUCAGGGAAGAAAAAAAUGACAGUACCUGAAGAAGAAGCACCGGCAAACUACGUGCCAGCAGCCGCGGUAAUACGUAGGGUGCAAGCGUUAUCCGGGAUUUACUGGGUGUAAAGGGCGAGUAGACGGCUCUGCAAGUCAGAUGUGAAAACUUAGGGCUCAACCUUAAGACUGCAUCUGAAACUGUAGAGCUAGAGUGCAGGAGAGGAAAGUGGAAUUUCUAGUGUAGCGGUGAAAUGCGUAGAUAUUAGGAGGAACACCAGUGGCGAAAGGCGACUUUCUGGACUGUAACUGACGUUGAGGCGCGAAAGUGUGGGGAGCAAACAGGAUUAGAUACCCUGGUAGUCCACACUGUAAACGAUGGAUACUAGGUGUAGGCAUGAAUGUGUCUGUGUCGGCGCAAACGCAAUAAGUAUCCCACCUGGGGGAGUACGGCCGCAAGGUUAAAACUCAAAGGAAUUGACGGGGGCCCGCACAAGCAGUGGAGUAUGUGGUUUAAUUCGACGCAACGCGAAGAACCUUACCAAGGCUUGACAUAUAACUGAAUACCUAAGAGAUUAGGUAGGCCUUCGGGACAGUUAUACAGGUGAUGCAUGGUUGUCGUCAGCUCGUGUCGUGAGAUGUUGGGUUAAGUCCCGCAACGAGCGCAACCCUCGUGGCUAGUUGCUGUGAAGAACAGAACUCUAGUCAGACUGCCGUAGUUAAUACGGAGGAAGGUGAGGAUGACGUCAAAUCAUCACGUCCCUUAUGUCUUGGGCUACACACGUACUACAAUGACUACUACAGAGAGAAGCGAAUCUGCGAAGAAGAGCAAAACUGAAAAAAGUAGUCCUAGUUCGGAUUGCAGGCUGAAACUCGCCUGCAUGAAGCUGGAAUUGCUAGUAAUCACGGGUCAGCAUACCGUGGUGAAUACGUUCCCGGGCCUUGUACACACCGCCCGUCACACCAUGAGAGUUGAGAGUACCCGAAGCCCAUGUUAAAGUGGUCGAAGGUAGGCUUAAUGAUUGGGGUGAAGUCGUAACAAGGUAACC
rnacentral:rRNA from 1 species